CCUACGGGAGGCAGCAGUGAGGAAUAUUGGUCAAUGGGCGAGAGCCUGAACCAGCCAAGUCGCGUGAAGGAUGACGGCCCUACGGGUUGUAAACUUCUUUUGUCAGGGAGCAAGUGGGUCCACGCGUGGGCGUAGCGAGAGUACCUGAAGAAAAAGCAGCGGCUAACUCCGUGCCAGCAGCCGCGGUAAUACGGAGGAUGCGAGCGUUAUCCGGAUUGAUGGGGUUUAAAGGGUGCGUAGGCGGAAUAUCAAGUCAGCGGUAAAAAUUCGGGGCUCAACCCCGUCGUGCCGUUGAAACUGCUGUUCUUGAGUGGGCGAGAAGUAUGCGGACUGCGUGGUGUAGCGGUGAAAUGCAUAGAUAUCACGCAGAACUCCGAUUGCGAAGGCAGCAUACCGGCGCCCAACUGACGCUGACGCACGACAGCGUGGGUAUCGAACAGGAUUAGAUACCCUAGUAGUC
rnacentral:rRNA from 1 species